rnacentral:rRNA from 1 species
AGUGAACGCUGGCGGUAGGCCUAACACAUGCAAGUCGAACGGCAGCACAGUAAGAGCUUGCUCUUACGGGUGGCGAGUGGCGGACGGGUGAGGAAUACAUCGGAGUCUACUUUUUCGUGGGGGAUAACGUAGGGAAACUUACGCUAAUACCGCAUACGACCUACGGGUGAAAGCAGGGGAUCUUCGGACCUUGCGCGAUUGAAUGAGCCGAUGUCGGAUUAGCUAGUUGGCGGGGUAAAGGCCCACCAAGGCGACGGUCCGUAGCUGGUCUGAGAGGAUGAUCAGCCACACUGGAACUGAGACACGGUCCAGACUCCUACGGGAGGCAGCAGUGGGGAAUAUUGGACAAUGGGCGCAAGCCUGAUCCAGCCAUACUGCGUGGGUGAAGAAGGCCUUCGGGUUGUAAAGCCCUUUUGUUGGGAAAGAAAAGCAGCAGGUUAAUACCCCGCUGUUCUGACGGUACCCAAAGAAUAAGCACCGGCUAACUUCGUG